rnacentral:lncRNA from 1 species
GGAGCCCCUGAUUUAAUCCUCACAAAAACCUUGUUGGAUCAGUGUAAUGAUUAUCAAUCCCAUCUUACAGAUGAGGAAACUGAGGCUUAGAAAGGUUAAUGGCUCACCCGCCACAGUGCUAGUAAAUGGCAAAGCUGGGACUUGAUCAUGUGGAGAGGUAGGGGUGAGGGUUUUUAUCCUUCACAGUGUGCUCAGGAGGAUGAACUCACCCUGCCUUCAUGAGGACCCGCCGGCUCAGGGCACUGGUGCGGAAGGCAGUCUCUAGAAAACAGUUGUCUAGUGCUACAGUGUGUUGGUGCUGAUUUCAGUGACGCUAGGGAGACUUGUGCUGCUAAGCGACAGCCUGGCUUCCCUCCACCUGGGCAGCUCCAGCCUUCUGCUCAGCAGGGCCGUGGAGGCCAUUCUAGGUCACAAGCUUCAGAACCUGAGUGGCUGCCUGAGACACACCGGCGUCUGCCUCAGCCUACAGCUCUGGGUUGUCAGUGACCCAAGCCUGGGCCUAACUCGUGCUCCUUGCUGCAAAAGAGACCUAGUUGCUGUGAGCCUUCCAGAACCUUCUGGAACCUUCUAGAACCUUGCCAAUGCCUGUGGGACCACAGAGGGAGGAGGCACUAGGGCUGUACAAAAUAUGAGGGCUCCUCAGCGCCUAAUUCCUAAUUCUGCUUACCUCAGCCUUGGCCUUACGCCUUUCACGAAGCCCUUUUUGUGACUUUCUUCCACAGUGGGCUCUUCCUUCCGGAAGUUUCUGUGGUGGCUGCCAUCUUUACCCCACAGGGGCUGCCUGGACUCCAUCCUGCUUCUUCCUUAUCUCCACAACUGCAGUCCUGAAGGACUGAGGAGGGUCUCUCUUCUGUUUUCCCCAUGAGGCUGGCACCUAGUUGGGGCUUCUGUGAAUACUUGUUCAACAGGAGAGGGGCUGGUGAGAGACAGAGCGAGAGGAGCUCAUGGUGUUUCUGUUUAAGAACGAAAGAAAAUGGCGUCCUCCAGGCGCCCACCCGUUGCCGUGGACGGCAAGUACGCUGGUCUCCAGGAGGUGGCUCCUGCCGCUCAGAGCUGGAGCUCUUUUGUGGAUUGACCAAGGAACCUGGGACCUGAGUUCCUUUGCCAUGCCGCUCCUCGAUGGAGACCUGGACAGCGAGAAGCACCCCUCCCGUAAGGUGGACAGCCCCCUCGGCUCGGGCAGCCCCUCCAGAGGGCUGUUCUCCAGAGGCCCCCCGGCCCGGCCGUCCAGCCCCGUGUCUGCUCCCGUGCGACCCAAGACCAGCCCGGGCUCCCCCAAAACCGUGUUCCCAUUCUCCUACCAGGAGUCCCCGCCCCGCUCGCCACGCCGUAUGAGCUUCAGUGGGAUCUUCCGGUCCUCGUCCAAAGAGUCUUCACCCAACUCCAACCCGUCUACCUCACCCGGGGGCAUCAGGUUCUUCUCCCGCGCCAGAAAAACCUCCAACGUCUCCUCUUCCCCGUCCACGCCCACCCAAGUGACCAAGCAGCACACGUUUCCGCUCGAGUCCUACAAGCAGGAGCCGGAGCGCCUGGAGAACCGCAUCUAUGCCUCCUCGCCGCCAGACACGGGCCAGCGCUUCUGCCUGGCCUUCCAGAGCCCAGCCCGGCCGCCGCUGGCCUCCCCGACGCACCACGCCACGCCCAGAACUAAGCUAAAUUGUACGGUGGUGGCAAGAGGUAGCAAAGCUUCAGCCAGCAGCCACCAGGACCAGAAGGGCUGCCAUCACCCCCUCGGCCUCGGCAGCAUCCACUCAAGGCAAAUGUUUGCCCUCCCUGUUUCUCAAGACAAAGCGUCCAUCCCAACACUCACAGGAAAGUGGCUGUAACCAUUUCUAAACAAGAAAGGGGUGCAAGGGAUGCUCUGGGAAACUGAAUGAAAUAAGCUCCAAGCCCAUUAAUGGUAUUAAAAAUCAACUGUUUACCCGGCGAGUUCAUUGAUUUACUGGUAAUGACCAAGUCCGUCAGAUUACCCCUCGGUGCCUACCGUGUGGCAGGCUCCAGCACGCUGAGAUGACGGAGGAGCCGUUCUUCCCCUUCAAAGACGUGGUGGGAUUUAGAGGAAAGAGCAAAGUAAUAAAUCCCGAUUCCGCAUGGUCGGAGCCGUGUAGGAACAGGUGGAUUAAGAGCCGCAGUGGGCAGAGGAGGAGGCAAGGGAAGGGGCUAGAUCAGCCAAGACUGCGGGUGAAGACUGAGCCAGACCCUGAAGGAGGCGGCGGGAAGCAGCCCCGGAGGGGGCGUCGGGGGGGAGGGGGCAGCGGGAGUCAGGAGCCGGGUGUGGUGGGGCUCAAGCGAGUCCACAGAGGGUGAGCCGCAGAAGGUGCUGCGGUUCGCGGUGUGACGCAAAUCCACGGCAAACUUCUUUUUAUCUUACCGGUUCAUUUUAGAUAUGCAUAAUGAUCGCCUUCAUCUUAGGCAGUUUGUACCGUAGAUGAUAAUCUUGCUUUUUCUUUUUCCCAUCCCCCUCCCCUCCCACACCCCUUCUUCCCUCCUUAUUUACAAAAGCAUCCUUUCCAUUUUUUUUUCUUUCUAGUCUCUUUUUUUCUUAUCCCUUUUUUCCUUUCCCCUUCCCCGCCUUUCCCCGCUUCUCGUUUGAAUAUAUUCUUCCUAUUUCACAAUAUCUAUUAUAUGUUAUGGUUCUUAUUUAUACUUUCAAUUUCCCACACCAGAGAAAUCAUGCAGUAUUUAAACUUGUGUGUCUAAUUUAUUUCACUUAAGAGGAUGGUCUCAAGAUGCAUCCAUUUAGCUAGAAAUGUCUCAAGCUAAUCUUUUUUAUGGCAGAGUAGUACUCCACUACAUAAAAAAAAAAAAAACCACCACAUCUUCUUUAUCCGUUCAUCAGUGGGUGGGCAUUUAGGCUCUUUUGAAGAUGGAGCCAUUACAACCUGCACCUCUGUAAACAUAGGUGUGCAUGUAUCACUGUGGUUUGAUGCUUUUAAUUCUUUCAGGAAGAUACCCAGAAGGGGAAUAGCUGGGUCAAAUGGGACCUCUAGUUUUAGUUUUCUGAGGAAUCUGCACACUGAUUUCCACAGUGGUUGUGGUUGCUCCAGUCUACACUCCCCCCAACAGUGGAUAAGGGAUCCUUUUCCCCCGACAGCCCCUCUGGCAUUUCUUUUUGGUUAAUUUCUUGAUAAUAGCCAUUCUUUCUGGGAUGAGAAGAAAUUUCAACAUUGUUUUAAUUUGCAUCUCUUGAAUAACCAGUGAUGUUGAACAUGUUUUCAUGUAUUUAUUUGCCAUUUCUACUUCUUCAUCUGAGAAAUGUCUAUUUAUUUCAGAUGCCCAUUUUUGGAUUGGGUCUUUGAAUUUGGAGGUCUGACUUUUUUUUUUAAGUUCUUAAUCUCGAUAUUAGUCCUUUAUGUGAGGAACAGCUGGCAAAAUUUUUUCCCACACUGUGGUUGUCUCUUCGCCCUGCUGGUGGUUUCUUUUGCUGUGCAAGUUUUUUAAUAAGAUGAGAUCCCAGUUGUUGACUCUUUGUGAUAGUUCCUGUGCAGCUGGUCUUUUGUUCUUAAAGUCUUUGCUUACACGAAUGUCUUCAAGAGUUCUACCUAUUCUAUCUCCCAGCAGAUAUAAUGUUUCUGUUUUAAAAUUUAGAUCUUUGGUCCAUUUCAAUUUUAGUUCAGUGCAUGGUCAAAGAUAUGGGUCUAGCUUUAAUCUUUGGCAUGUGGAAAGCCAGUUUUUCCAGCACAUUUUAUUAAAAAAGCUAUCUUUCUUCCAGUGAGGGUGUUUGGCUCCUUUGUCAAAAGUAAGGUAACUGAGUGUGUUUGGAGUUGUUUCUGCAUCUUCUCACCUGUUGCAUUGAUCCUCAGGUCUGGUUUUUUGUUUGUUUUGUUUUUUUCUAGUACCAUGCUGUUUUUAUCACAGUGGUUUUGUAAUAUGAUUGUAAGUCAGC